UACGUAGGGUGCAAGCGUUGUCCGGAAUUAUUGGGCGUAAAGAGCUCGUAGGCGGCUCGUUGCGUCGGCUGUGAAAACCCGCAGCUCAACUGUGGGCUUGCAGCCGAUACGGGCGGGCUGGAGUUCGGUAGGGGAGACUGGGAAUUCCUGGUGUAGCGGUGAAAUGCGCAGAUAUCAGGAGGAACACCGGUGGCGAAGGCGGGUCUCUGGGCCGAUACUGACGCUGAGGAGCGAAAGCGUGGGGAGCGAACAGG
rnacentral:rRNA from 1 species